GGCCACUCCAAGCUUUGUUGUCCAUGCAUGUCACUAUGCGGUCGCCUUUCAGCUGGUACCCUGGUGAGCAGUAGUACUCGCACCUGGAGCCAAAGUAGGCACCAUCCAAGCACUUGAAGCCCCCGUUGGUUGGCAUGGAGAGUGUGGGGCAGCGCUUCUGUUUGCACAGCACUUUCCCAGACCAGCGUUUGCUCGACUGACAGAUGAGCUGCUGAGGGCCAUGCAGUUCAUAGCCUUUUUGACAACGAAUAUCACAUCUUGUCCCCAGUACGUUCUUGUAAUAUUCCCCUUGAGGUGUCCUGCAGUUUGCAUAACCAUGUUUCACCUUAAUGGGAGAGCACCAUGGUGUUUCUUUAUAUCUACUGCGUGCAUAUGCAUCUUCGUCAUCUUCAAGGGGUGAAAUUCCAGAUCCCUCGUACUCCCGGCUGGGGCAGGCGGCCAGGGCGAGCAGAGCGGCCAGGCGCAGGCAGCGGCUCGCCAUGCUGCGCGGCGGCGACGGCCCUUCCCGGCUGAGGGCUGCG
rnacentral:lncRNA from 1 species